GGAAACAGAUGCUAAUACCGGAUAACAACACUAGACGCAUGUCUAGAGUUUAAAAGAUGGUUCUGCUAUCACUCUUGGAUGGACCUGCGGUGCAUUAGCUAGUUGGUAAGGUAACGGCUUACCAAGGCAAUGAUGCAUAGCCGAGUUGAGAGACUGAUCGGCCACAUUGGGACUGAGACACGGCCCAAACUCCUACGGGAGGCAGCAGUAGGGAAUCUUCCACAAUGGACGCAAGUCUGAUGGAGCAACGCCGCGUGAGUGAAGAAGGGUUUCGGCUCGUAAAGCUCUGUUGGUAGUGAAGAAAGAUAGAGGUAGUAACUGGCCUUUAUUUGACGGCAAUUACUUAGAAAGUCACGGCUAACUACGUGCCAGCAGCCGCGGUAAUACGAU
rnacentral:rRNA from 1 species